GUCAGUGUAGCACAGUGGUUUGAAUGUUGGACUACAACUCUAAAGAUCUAGGUUUGAGUCCCACUGGGG